UCGUCUUAUCCUCAAACCAAUCGACAUCUCAUCAUAUAUUCCCUUCCAUCAAAAGCUUGAACUCUCGGGUUCUCCUCCACCGGCCGGUCGCGCCACGCAAGCCGGCGGCAGCCACUUCGCGCAUCUACACGGGUGGCGCCUCCCUCGGUCCCUCACCCGGUUGUCCGCGUCUGCCAAGCUGGCCGGACAACUGCCGAGAACCCACAUCGGAAGCGGCGGCGCUCCUCCUGUAGACGCCACUGCGGCCGCCUUGCCACAACUCCAACCACCGCAUGCCUCCAAACACCGUGCAGAGGCAUCGUUCUGAUAAACACACUACAGCUAAGUUGUGGAUUAUCCCCUUUGACGUUGCUUUUCAUUUGAUUCGUAUAAUCCCUGUAUUCCUCUUCCCAGAGCAUCCAGAUCCAUCCCCUUCCUUCAGUUUGUUGUCUGGGAUAGCCUCAUACACCUGCCUCUAUUGAUUUUGCAGCCGGUGGCAUGCUGCUGGGCUAGCAAUCCGGAAUUUUUUACUUCGUCUACCCAACAAGGUAUACAGUCAAGUCUACACAAAACUGUAUGGUCGACAACCUUCUUUACUCUUGCAUCAGGAUCCCGCAUACAAAUCAUUCGCAAAGAUUUCUCUACUCUUGAUCGUGGCUAAUCUUUACCGUCGCAAAACUUCGCUCACUUUCAGGGAUCUUUCGAUCAGAGCAAGAACCCGGCUGCGACCAACCUCAUUUCAUAUUUUUGCCUCGGUCAGCAGCUUGGCAUAUUUUGUUCGCUCCUUUUAAACCUGGGUAAUUCUGCACAUAUUUUUUAUCUCCAACUCCAACACAUGUUUUUGAUAUACCAAUGGGUCAUUACAGGUUGGUAUAGCUGUUUGUGAACUUAUAUCCUUUUCCUUUUUUCUUCAGAAUAUGUUUUUCCAAUGCUAGCAGAAUUCUAUAGACUUUAUAUCUUAAGAGGCCAUUACUAGGACAAUGCUACCUGCCAAUAAAAAUUCUUCACGAAUCAACAGGGUGUACAAAAAUGUGUGCAGUGUUACCAUACAAAAUGGUUGAGGUGCCAUAUGCUCUCUCAUGUUUACCCUUACUGUUUACUUUAGUUAUUCCAACAAAGAGUCUGGCAGAUCAUGAUGCUUAAAUUUCAACCACAAAACGUCAGGUGCUAAUUCUCUCUUCUCUUACAUCGUGUUACUUUUUUUGUUACACAUAAUUAUCUGAAGUGCUACCCUUUUUAUUGGUUUUCUAUCAUCUCCUCUUCCAACACUUGCACUCCAGGAUGCCUCUAAAGCCUCACAUCACUCUUCCAUCAGUUCUACCAAGAAAGACAUUCAGCAUAUACAUGCACGCAAUGAAUCAGCUCACGGAAUCUACAAAUGCAAAAGUGUGCGGAACUAUCAGAAGCAAAUUUCAGGGAGAAAACAUCAGCAACUAACUACCCAUGAAGAUCACAUUAUAACUGUUGGUUGCAUAAACAAGGAAGCAAUUUUCAUGGCAUAUAGCUCAUUUGUACAUAUAUUAUACAAAGUGGUUGCACUGAAUAUAACUUAUGUACAAUGUACUACUUAAAUUUUCCCUUUCAACUC